rnacentral:lncRNA from 1 species
UUUGAUACUUUUCUGUCUGGCAUUUCUGAGUUUUUUUUCUGAUUAUUACCAGCAAGUAGUUGAUAAGAAUUAUCAUAUACUUUUGUAAAUGUAGAAAUAUUGGUAUGUAUUCCAAUACCAAACGAAAUUGCAUGUUUGUUUGUUUUAAGUGUGGUCAAUUGUCUAAAGCCUAGACGGACAAAGGAAGCUGCAAUUGCUUCUGUAACUCAUGUAAGCUGCCUUAAUUGAUAAGUAUCUGGACAUCCACGGACGGGGGAGCCAUCCGCUUCUCUUCUGUCUUUGACAACCAGUACUUUUAGAAUGAGCGAGUGCUUUGUAUUACAAAGAUCCGGUCCAACAGGCCUGCAGUCCGCACAGCCGGUAAAUGUGAAGAUGAAGUACAGUGAAGAUUAAAAUCUAACCUGACCUAACCUUACCUACUAUCCAAAAACUUUCAACCUGCCAACCUACAAUCUACAAACUUACAACCUACUAACCGAAAACCUACAAUUUAAAGCCUACAAUCUACCAACCUACAACUUAAAACCUACUGACUCACGUCUGACUGUACUUCAUCUUGAUCUACACAUAUAAUAUUGCACAGCCUACACAGGCCUCAAACUUCUGUGUGCACUAUGGUGUCAGGCAAUUGUGCCCCACCGACCAGCUGUGGUGACGCCAGUCGCCAACAGCUACAGCGCUUUUCCAGGAGGCUUCAGUUAUUCUGUGACUGGUGACCAAGGCACGACACAUCACCCAGCAACUCACAAUCUCGCUGGCGGAGUGUUGCUGAGCAGCUGACCAACUGAGGCUGCUGGAGCGUUUCUCAGUCGUCGACCUCCGUAGACUGUCAAGCCUCCCUGGCCUUCUGCGACUCAAGAAGGAGGGAUUUUUAUCUGUGUUUACCAUACAAGAGACAUUUUAAUCUGACGAUUCGAUCGGAUCUGGAUCAUGAAUCCCGAGGCGGUGUGACAGAUGGUCGAGGCCGGCGCGCCACGCCAGACGCCUUCUCGCGCGGGGCGUGCUCAGGUCAGUCAGGUUGCGCUGCCGGACUCUGCUCCGAGGAGAGAAGCACAUAAGCGCAGUCAGGACGCGAGUGUGGUUGCACCGCCCCGGUCCCAGCAACCGCAUGGCGGUGGGGACUCACAGCCCGGCUGAUGGUUCCAGAUCGUCUCAGCGCAGCUUCUUCUCCGGACCCCGGCGCGGCAGCGAGGCUGGUGGUUCGGAGCCGACUGAUGGAGGACAGCAAAAGAACAGCAGGACAGGACAGCACCCUAACCCUUCGGUCAUGUGGCGAGAGCUGGGCCCCGGACCGGUCGAAAGGGUGCUCACUGCUCAGCUGAGUGGGUAAUGUCCGCGUCUCGUUAGUGUCCCCGGCCAGGUCCUGAAGGGUAGAUGAGCGCGGGAUAUUCUCCUUUAUAGACGCAGAGCAAUGCUAGAAGAUUGGUUUUGCGAUCGAGUUGCAUGCGCUGUCCCUGCCUGUCGCUCCUGCUGCCGCCGGCGGGGUUGGCGCUAAUGGCCAUUGACGGGGCUGCUGUGUUUGUAAAUUAGGUUGGAUGGACCCCUGCUCUCAAAGUUUUGUGUUGGUCGCUGGUAACCCAUGUUUUGUUGCCAGCGUGUUACGAACCCACGUAGUGGUUUGACCCCGUGGGGUGCUGUGAGACAGCGCGGAGCGACGCGUGGAUGCUGCUGAAACACGCUGACUAUCGUCAUUUUGAAGUGCUGCUUGAGUUUGCUCGUUUGUUCUGUCUUACUGUAUUGUGUUUUCUACCAAGAUAAUGUCGAUAAGAUUGUUCAAUAAAGUUUGAGUUGAGACUUCCGGACCGGGAAAGACUGAGACGUCUGAACCGGCGCCGGCAAAGGCGUCUAAACCGGGACCGAUUGAGGCAGCUGGACUGGGACCAACGAAUGGCAGCCAGUUCUGGACCGAAAGUGGCAGGGCUGCAUCCGAUGCGCCACCACAUACCGUAUCACUGGCAGCCAUAUGCGUUCCUGUCGCAGGCCACCGUUCACGCUUCAGUUUCGGCGCUGGUGCCCCGGCCGGGUAUAUGCUCUGCUCGGUAUACCUAACUGUUGUGAGCAAACCCUCGUAAUCGUACGUCUAAUGCUAUAGUUGUUGUUCAAAUCCGCGUAAAUUAUGACAUUCUGGCAACUAUGCUGACCCAUAACCAAGCAUAGGUCAAUGUUGGCUCAGUCGGCUACGGUCGAAGUUAUGGUGUUUUUCCAGCCGAUAAUGCAUCAAUAUAAACUCCUUCCACA